rnacentral:misc_RNA from 1 species
AAAGUCGUAACAAGGUUUCCGUAGGUGAACCUGCGGAAGGAUCAUUACCUUUCAAUGCAGCAGAGUUGGGAUGGUUGAGUAUCUCGCCUUUCAAUUCUGCCUGUAUUCUACCCUUGUUUCUCUUACACUAUUAUUUCCUCGGCAGGCUUGCUUGCCGAGUGAAACCAUUUAUAACCUGUUUAAUUUUCAAUCAGCGUCUGAACAAAUUAAUAAUUACAACUUUCAACAACGGAUCUCUUGGUUCUG